rnacentral:rRNA from 1 species
GACGAACCGUGCGAGCGUUGUUCGGAAUCACUGGGCUUAAAGGGCGCGUAGGCGGGCUGCCAAGUCUGGGGUGAAAUCCCACGGCUCAACCGUGGAACUGCCUCGGAUACUGGCGGUCUCGAGGGAGGUAGGGGCAUGCGGAACUGUGGGUGGAGCGGUGAAAUGCGUUGAUAUCCACAGGAACUCCGGUGGCGAAAGCGGCGUGCUGGACCUCUUCUGACGCUGAUGCGCGAAAGCUAGGGGAGCAAACGGG